AGAGUUUGAUCCUGGCUCAGGACGAACGCUGGCGGCGUGCCUAAUACAUGCAAGUCGAGCGGAUGACAGAGGAGCUUGCUCCUCCUGAUUCAGCGGCGGACGGGUGAGUAACACGUGGGCAACCUGCCCUGUAGAUUGGGAUAACUCCGGGAAACCGGGGCUAAUACCGAAUAAUCCUUCGGACCUCAUGGUCCGAUGUUGAAAGGCGGCUUCGGCUGUCACUACAGGAUGGGCCCGCGGCGCAUUAGCUAGUUGGUGAGGUAACGGCUCACCAAGGCCACGAUGCGUAGCCGACCUGAGAGGGUGAUCGGCCACACUGGGACUGAGACACGGCCCAGACUCCUACGGGAGGCAGCAGUAGGGAAUCUUCCACAAUGGACGAAAGUCUGAUGGAGCAACGCCGCGUGAGUGAAGAAGGUUCUCGGAUCGUAAAACUCUGUUGUGAGGGAAGAACAAGUACCGGAGUAACUGCCGGUACCUUGACGGUACCUCAUUAGAAAGCCACGGCUAACUACGUGCCAGCAGCCGCGGUAA
rnacentral:rRNA from 1 species